UUGUAGGAUAGAUAACAAAAAUGAGCAACAAAGGCUAGAAACUCAACUCCUUCUCAAACUGUUGCAGAGGCCACUUGUCAAAUGCUAGCUAAGAAGGUAUGAUAUUGGCCACUGGUCGAUUUUGUAAUAUUUAAGUUUUUCUUUUUGUACUACUCCAUCAUUUACCAAUUAAUACAUCAUAUAUGAUUUAUGAUUUCAAACAGUAUUAAAAUUUUAGGGGCAGACGUAUACUUUUAUAAUUAAAAUUUUAAAAUAUAAUAAUAAAAUUCAUUAAAUAUAAAUUUCAAUUAAAAAUGCAUAAAAGUCGGGUUUAUUUUUGAAAUUAUUUUAUAGUCGCCUUAUUUUCAGUGCUAUCAAAUAGAUCUCUUUCUGUGAAGAAAUAGUUUCACUAGGUUGUUCUUGGACGGGGACAUGACUAAUGGACUCUUGAGUAGAUUUAAUAGGAAAAAAGAUUCGGAUCAAGCACGUUUAGUAGUGUUUCCUCUUAACUUACUUAAUUAUUUUAUUUUCCCAUCUUUAUUUGAAAAUUGUUUUAUUUUACAGGGGAUGAAACUGAUUCUAGUUUCAGAUUGUUAUCUUGGGUAUGAACAAGAAUACUCGGUCAAAAAAAUUAUUGAAUCUCAGCAACAUGGAGCCAAAAAUUAGUUCAAGAAUACUGAGUGUUAUUGGAAUUUUCCUUCUUGGCAUGUUGCAAUCCAUGCAGGCCCUAAUGAACCCCAAAGGCCCCUGUAACGUUGAUGGGCUACUAACAAUUUAUCUUUUAUUUAUCUUAUUCUUCAUCUCCUCUCCUUUGCCCUUAGUUUUGCUUUAAAGGACUUUUGGCAAUUAUUAUGGUACUAUUAUCGUUAUUGUAAGUCUGUGCAUACAUGGUUGUUAUGGGGUGAUUGAGCCACGAUUUAUUUUGUUUGUAAAAUAAUUGACAUUUGUUAUAUAACAGGUUUGUCAAUAAUGGAUUUCGCA
rnacentral:lncRNA from 1 species